CCCUAGCCUCCCUAAAAAACCCUAGCCACCCCGAAUCAGUCUCAGCCCACUCCCGUGCGUGCUGGAUAGGGUUCCCCGCCACCCUCACCGGUCGCCGCCGCCCUCACCGGUCGCCGCCGCCGUCGGUUUCCCCUACAUGGCCAGAGGAUAGGCCAUCCCGCCGGUCCAUUCCCACCCCACCACGAGGGAGGAGACCGACCGGUUGCGCCUCCCCGCCGGUCGCCGCCCGCCACCCCAAGGAUCAAGGCCGGCCGCGCCGGUCCCCGUCGGUCGCUGCUCCGGAUCCAGGCCGCCCACCGCCCCGCCCCCGUCAGCCCGAUCUAUUUCCCACCGGAUCCCAUCUUCGCCUCCGUCCGACGCGCCUUCUUCAAGGAGCUGCGACCCCAUGUCUCAGAGGAGCUAUCCCCGACGCCAUUGAUGCCCGAGCGACGCUCCCAAGCUAUGACGUACCCCGCCGCAAGGAGGCCAGGAGGCCUCCAUGGAGGCCCGUCCCGAGCUCGCCUCGCUGCUCCUCCGGUGACCCUCGUUGCGCCUGGAUCCGGGCGGAUCCGACGAUUCCCCGAUGCGCAGGCGGGCCGGCACGCGGCGCUAGGCGAAGGAGCCCUCCCAUGGCGGUGUCAAUUGCAUGCUGCAGUAGCUGGGAUAGAUGGUAGCAGUGGUGGUCAAGACGACAAGUGACAGCGGGCGCACCUGAUACCAAGAUGCCAAGGUGGUCGUGGGUCUCGCGCUCGGACAGUUCAUCUUGCUGCUUAUGACCUCCAUCAGAUUCUCCUCCGAGCUUGCCUGCCGAGAUGCCAGCACUGCUUGUUUGUAUAGAUGCUCAAGAAGACUGCUCAAAGGAGGACAGUUUGUAGGACAGUUUGUGUGACACUUUGAUGUUGCAGAUGCGAGCACUACCUGUUUGUAUAAAUGCUGAAGGAGAAAACUGUUCGGAGAAGGACAUGUGUGAGAGAGAGAGAGGGAAGGAGAAACAGGGGCCGGGAGUAAGAGGUGAAGAGCAAGGAGAACCACAUGUUGUCCCUUUGUCAUCGACACCAUCCCGCCGUUGCAGGCUUGUCCCCAUGGCCUCUCUCUUGUGAGCUGUUACCCUGCCCUGGUUCUUUGUCUCUGCCUCUUUCAUGGUUUCUUCCUUUCGAAGAUUUCUUUUUUGUCUCCCUUCUAAAGGUAAGUUCUGCCUUAGCAUCCUUCAUGUUGUAACACAAACAAAAUAUUAGUGAUCUGACAGCAACACCAUUUUCUGUUGAGUUAUUUAAUUUAGAUGAUUGCUGCUAUACAACUUGACUGCCAAAGUCUGUAGCAUUUUCUACUUGAUAAAUAAAGAACCAGGUCACACCAUUUUCUUUACUUUAUUAUUCAGAUUAUAUGCAGGAGUUUUGGUGUGGAUUAUAGAUUCUAAAGUUACUCUUAGCUUGUCAGCUUUGUUGAUCCUAAUUUACGAUGUUCACCAAGGAUUAUAGACCAUGGUACCUUCAUCUGUUGUCGACAAUUUCCUCUUUCAGAUUUGAUGUUAGUUUGUACAAGCUAGUGGGUUGUGCUUAGAUGGUAUGGUUUCUCUGCUAUUUAGAAACUACACUUAACACUCAUAAAGUACAAUGAUCGGAUCCUAAACUGAAAUAUUUAUUUUGGCGGGUUUAAAAUUUGAUGUGGGAUGGGCAUACGAGUUUGAUGUUUGCAGUCCUCUCAGAGCUGCAAGUCGCUCGACAACACGACAAAUUCAGUUACAGAUUUUUACCAAAUCUAACUGAAAUAAAGUUCAGUUCAGCAAACCAUGUCUGUUGGAAGGAAGCAAAUUUCUUGCCUUCCGAAUCCUACGUAGCCAUCAUAUUUUAUUUCAGACUGAAUAGUCCCAGCUCAGUGUAUCCUUGCUAAAAUAAGAACAUCAUUUUUUUAGGGGAUGCCACAAAACAAAAACUGACCAGGACUGCAUCUCUCAUAUUUUCUUGCUUAGAUUGUUAAUCUGAAUUCGUGUUUGAUAUUGUAGUAUGGAGGUUUCACCAUGAUGCAUGUUCUGUUGUCGUUUGUUUUCCAACUGCUUUGAUAUUAAUUUACAAGAUAGUAAGUUUUAUACAUGUGGUUGGAUGUCAAUCUUUACAGUUUGAUGACUAGAUUUAUCCAAGGAAGAAAAACUGAUAUUACUAAUUAUGUGAUAUAUAGAUGCAGAUCCGAGUUGCCAUAAUGGAAUAUGGAUGGACAACACAAAAUAGCCCAGUUCCUUAAUUUUGUGUUUGAUGGAAGUAUAUGGUUCAGCCUGUACUGUCCAACAUAAAUUGACACAAACCUGUGCGCGUUUACUCUGAACGAUAACAAUAGUCUUGCAAGCUUGAUCCCCAUCAUAAAUCGAAUACUCUUGAUUUGCUUCAGAUGACGGAAGCUUGGGUUGAUGGAGUGCUUGUCUUUAGUUUUUGUUUUGACUUUGUGAAACUUGCUACCUAUGAUGAAAUUGUGUAAUAUUGACGAAACUAUGUAUAUGUAUGGAUGAAACUUGCUACUAUUGGUAACAUGUGUUGGAUAUGUG
rnacentral:rRNA from 1 species